AGUGAACGCUGGCGGUAGGCCUAACACAUGCAAGUCGAACGGCAGCACAGUAAGAGCUUGCUCUUACGGGUGGCGAGUGGCGGACGGGUGAGGAAUACAUCGGAAUCUACUUUUUCGUGGGGGAUAACGUAGGGAAGCUUACGCUAAUACCGCAUACGACCUACGGGUGAAAGCAGGGGAUCUUCGGACCUUGCGCGAUUGAAUGAGCCGAUGUCGGAUUAGCUAGUUGGCGGGGUAAAGGCCCACCAAGGCGACGAUCCGUAGCUGGUCUGAGAGGAUGAUCAGCCACACUGGAACUGAGACACGGUCCAGACUCCUACGGGAGGCAGCAGUGGGGAAUAUUAGACAAUGGGCGCAAGCCUGAUCCAGCCAUACCGCGUGGGUGAAGAAGGCCUUCGGGUUGUAAAGCCCUUUUGUUGGGAAAGAAAAGCAGCAGGUUAAUACCCCGCUGUUCUGUCGGUACCCAAAGAAUAAGCACCGGCUAACUUCGUG
rnacentral:rRNA from 1 species